UGAUGGUCUUUGGCCGUCCGAGUUGUAAUUUAGAGAAGCGUCUUCCGCGCUGGACCGUGCACAAGUCUCCUGGAAUGGAGCGUCAUANAGGGUGAGAAUCCCGUCUUUGGCNCGGACACCCCAGGGCUUUUGUGAUGCGCUCUCAAACAAUCAAGUUGUUUGGGAAUGCAGCUCAGAAUGGGUGGCGAACUCCAUCUAAAGCUAACUAUUGGAGAGAGACCGAUAGCGAACAAGUACCGUGAGGGAAAAAUGAAAAGCACUUUGGAAAGAGAGUGAAACAGUACGUGAAAUUGUUGAAAGGGAAACGCUUGAAGUCUGUCGCGUCAACCGAGACUCGGCCUUGCCUUGGCUUGGUGUACUUCUCGGCUGACGGGUCAGCAUCAGUUUUGCCCCUUGGAUAAUGGCGAGGGAAAUGCGACACCUUUGCGGUGUGUUAUAGUCCCUCGUCACAUGCAAGGGUUGGGAUUGAGGAACUCACCCCGCGCCUUUGGGCGUCGGGGCUUUGCCCACGAUACGUGCUUAAGAUGUUGGCGUAGUGGCUUUAUGCGACCCGUCUUGAAACACGGACCAUGGAGUCUAACUUGCCUGCGAGUGUUCGGGUGGAAAACCCGUGCGCGCAAUGAAAGUGAAAGUUGGGACCUCUGUCGUGGAGGGCACCAACGCCCGGACCAGACCUUCUGUGACGGCUCUGCGGUAGAGCAUGUAUGUUAGGACCCGAAAGAUGGUGAACUAUGCCUGAAUAGGGUGAAGCCAGAGGAAACUCUGGUGGAGGCUCGUAGCGAUUCUGACGUGCAAAUCGAUCGUCAAAUUUGGGUAUAGGGGCGAAAGACUAAUCGAACCAUCUAGUAACUGGUUCCU
rnacentral:rRNA from 1 species